UUGAAACUACAUUUUAAAGCUAUAAUAACAGGGUAAAUAUAACGGGGAGACAUCCCAAUCGCUUCACGAGUAUAUAGAAAUUGUCGCUUUGAGAGUUGUAUAACUUUGCGACUAUAAUAAACAAAGCGACAGAUAGAGGAGGAAGAACAGAAGCGUGAAUUUUUUUGUUUUUUCUUAGUUGGAACUGACGUGCAGAAAUAUAAUCAUUAGCACACGCACAAAACAUACACACUUCUGCAUAAGCUCGCAUGCACGCGCAAACACGCACAUGUAAUGAGAAUUACAUUGUCACAUAAUGAGAAUCACAAAAUAGACGAAAGGACUGGAUGGAAAACCGACUGGAUGCUGUAUCUCAACGUACGAUGUAUAGACAAAGCAAGCAUGAUUGAAGAUCACAUUGAAGAAUGCAGUUCAUGAUAUAUAGAUAUACAAGUGGAAUCUAGUUAGAAAAUCUUUGAUCGUAUUAUUUCUCAACCAGGACACUAAGUAGCAGUAGCAGUAGCGACAGCGACAUUGAUGUUGACAGAAGAUUAUUAACAACAAUCUAGUCACACGUAAUAUCGAAUGAGAAAUAUUAUACAACGCAGUUAUAAACUGUAAUAAACAUAAUAUUUAAAAAUAUAUAUAUAAAAAAAAAUCACACUUUU